GCUCCCGUAGCUCAGCUGCAUAGAGCGUUCGCCUCCGGAGCGAAAGGCCGCAGGUUGAAGUCCUGCCGGGAGCGCCA
rnacentral:tRNA from 1 species